rnacentral:rRNA from 1 species
AGUGAACGCUGGCGGUAGGCCUAACACAUGCAAGUCGAACGGCAGCACAGUAAGAGCUUGCUCUUACGGGUGGCGAGUGGCGGACGGGUGAGGAAUACAUCGGAAUCUACUUUUUCGUGGGGGAGAACGUAGGGAAACUUACGCUAAUACCGCAUACGACCUAUGGGUGAAAGCAGGGGAUCUUCGGACCUUGCGCGAUUGAAUGAGCCGAUGUCGGAUUAGCUAGUUGGCGGGGUAAAGGCCCACCAAGGCGACGAUCCGUAGCUGGUCUGAGAGGAUGACCAGCCACACUGGAACUGAGACACGGUCCAGACUCCUACGGGAGGCAGCAGUGGGGAAUAUUGGACAAAGGGCGCAAGCCUGAUCCAGCCAUACCGCGUGGGUGAAGAAGGCCUUCGGGUUGUAAAGCCCUUUUGUUGGGAAAGAAAAGCAGCAGGUUAAUACCCCGCUGUUCUGACGGUACCCAAAGAAUAAGCACCGGCUAACUUCGUG